AUCAUACGUCCCGAACACCUCAGGCGAGCGCUCUACCGACUGAGCCAAAUCCAUCCCCAAGGUACACACGGGAUACUUUUGUCCCAUAAACUGGCCAUCGCUUCGGUCAUCUUGUUCGUUCAUCCGUGACUUUAAAAUUCCUCGAGCAGCCACUGAGACGGAAAAAUCCACUGGUCUUGACCAUCUCGUGCAGGGAUUGACAACUCGUUUAAAACCUGAAUUAGACAGACGUAGAUCACAACCCAGCACUAAUGGGUAACAGCAACAGUCAGACGCCUCAAACCCGAUCCAGUGCGUACCGUGGGUAUAGUGCGCCUUCUUCCGCCGAGCUGCCGUCGUCAGCCAAAGUGGACUCGCCUCCGAUGGACAUCAGCGAGUCGUCAGUCAACGAACAGUGCUGUAUCUCCACGGAUAAAGAUGGCGUAAAGGGUAUCGUGAUUGGUUGAAACUGGUCACGGGGAAUAGUUUAUACUGUCAUUGGCUGAAACGGUGGUCACGCAGGAUACCCUUGAUGUGACGACGGAACAGAGACGUCAAUAAACUAUCGUGUACAGGCAAAUACAUUCUACAGCUGAAGAUAGUCACUAAAUGAAUAUUGUGGAUUAAAAAAAAACAUAAGCUGCAGUAUAGUAAAUAUUAUUUUAUUAUUUUCAAUAUAUACAUUUAUUAAAA